rnacentral:tRNA from 1 species
CGGACGGGGGGCCUGCGCCCCAUGUGCGAGUUUACAGCCCGCCGCCUAAAUCAGCCACCUGACC